UACGUAGGGUGCGAGCGUUGUCCGGAAUUAUUGGGCGUAAAGAGCUCGUAGGCGGUGUGUCGCGUCGGCCGUGAAAACCUGGGGCUCAACUCUGGGCGUGCGGUCGAUACGGGCAUCACUGGAGUUCGGCAGGGGAGACUGGAAUUCCUGGUGUAGCGGUGAAAUGCGUUGAUAUCGGAAGGAACUCCGGUGGCGAAAGCGGCGUGCUGGAUCUCUUCUGACGCUGAGGCGCGAAAGCCAGGGGAGCAAAGCGGG
rnacentral:rRNA from 1 species